AUCAUGGGCUUUUUGUAGUGCCACAGACUAUGAAACAUCUUCAUAGAGGGGAGUUUAUGUGAAGGAGCCGAGGAGCCAGAAUGAUCCUAUUUUAUAAUAACAACCGUCAAGGUCUUCGUUGUUUAUCCGUGAGCGAACUAAGUGAAAGCGAAAUUGCUCAUAGUGGAUCUGUGUGCGGACAAGUUUGUCAUUCAGCUGGGGGACGAGGACUGCAUCCUGCCCAGUAAGCUGCAGGCGGCGCUGCAGCAGGUGCUGGAGGAGAGAGAGCUGAUCCUGGGGCAGGAGGCGGAGCAGGAGGGGGCCAGCCCUGGAGACCGCAACGAGCAGCUGAGCGCUCUGGUAUGGAAAG